AUAUCAAUAAGCGGAGGAGAAGAAACUAACAAGGAUUCCCCCAGUAACGGCGAGUGAAGCGGGAAGAGCUCAAAUUUAAAAUCUCCUUGGUUCCCAAGGCGAAUUGUAGUUUCAAGAAGCGUUUUCUGAGGUCGGUUUGAUCCAAGUCUGCUGGAAAGCAGCGCCAUAGACGGUGAUAGCCCGGUGGGAUCUUACUUGUCUUCUUUAUGAUUUCGUCUUCAAAGAGUCGUACAGUUUGAGAUUGCUGUGCUAAAUGGGAGGUAAAUAUCUUCUAAAGCUAAAUACUGGCGAGAGACCGAUAGCGCACAAGUA
rnacentral:rRNA from 1 species